CAAAGGGUUAACAUUGUUAACUUUAUAAAGGUUUUGGAUUUGAGUGGUAGCUUGCAUCAUUAAUUCGCUGUUUCCUUCAGCCUUUGCUUUACUCAACACACUCAUGUGUUCAGCAACCUUUGGGUUAAUGAUAGCGAGCUUUGCGGACGUUUUCAUCAUCUUUAACAUAAUAGGAAAUACUGCAAUUCUCAUAGCAACAGCACAUGCAGCAAUUGAAGCCCACCAAGGAAGGCCGCUCCAAAUAUGAAGCGUAUUAAGGCCGUUUUGGAGGAUAUUAUGAGGUAAGAAAGAAAAAGAUGCUAAGACGGAGGACGACAAUGGCAGACUAGGAGUGUAAACCACUUUCUCGGACCUAGAUUUGGGGAAAGAAGUCGAAGAGUUGUGAAUUUUUAUUAAGGAAGAAGUACGCUGAUUUCGGCCAAGCUUAGCAAAAGAGAAAUUCUUAAAAAAUGUAUUAUGUGUGUGGAUCUGGCGAAUCUUCGCUCCUUGUGUAGCAAUCAAAAAGCAUGAUACCGAGUAAUGAGAUUUCGAAGAAAACUUUAUUCCUCUUCCAAUGACUGAAAACAUGCUUGAUUAAUAGUGAAGCUCGAACUUCAAGGAUAUAUGUUUUUACAAAUCGAAGAACCAGCUAAUGUUUAUCCAAGAUACCCAAAAAUAAAA